CACUAAUGCCAAAGUCACAGAGUUUAAUAUUUCCAUUUCUGUCCAGAAGAAUAUUGGAAGGUUUGAUAUCUCUGUGAAUGAUUUUCAAGUUUUCUUUUAAGUGGUUUAGUGCUUUCACAGUAGCUAAAGUGAUUUUGCCUAGGAUUUCUUCUGGAAUAACAUCAUCUAAUACACUAUAUACAUAUUUGUAAAACUUAUCAAACGAGGUAGACAUGAGCUCCAUACAGAUCCAACAGUCACCCUCUCUGAAGAGUGCACCAUAAAACUGAACAAUAUAUGGGCAGUCACUGCUUCGCAUUACUACAUCAAGGUCCAUCAGAAGCUGCUUCUGUUCUUUUUCAUCCACUGUCGAUCGAAUUCUUUUAACUGCCAUAAUUUGCCCACUUGGUUUGUGGACCAUUUUGUUGACAGAACCAUAAGCGCCUCGUCCAAUUUCUCCAAGGUCUUUCAAGUCCUCUGCUGUAAAAUCCCAAUGCUGUUCAGGGGAAAUCUUCAAUUUUCCUGAUGAUUCAAUGCUGUGUGUUCUCAGUCUCUCUAUGUGUGGAUUUUGGAAAGGAACUCCUGAGGUGUUCAGAGUAAACCUUGCCGUGGACUUGAAAGGUGGAUUUGCAAAAUUUAACUUCAGCGCUUUGCGUUUACCCUGCAUGCUGCUGACGGCCGCGUGCGCCGGCGGCCCGCCCGGGCCCGGCCCGCUCCCGCCGCCCGAGCCGGAGCCGCUGCUGGGGCUGGGAGUCGCCAUUGUGUGCGCUAGAGACGGAGCGGCGCGGAGGCUGCAAUGCAGCAGGGACCCUCCCAGGCAGGACACCUAGAGCCCCGCCGCCGUAUAGCAGGCGCCGGAGCCUCCCCGUCCGCCGUCCGCCCCCGGGCUGAGGCUCCCGCUUAACCCCUCCCAGGCGGGGCGCCCGCGGCCGCCCAGGCUACGUUCCGCGGCGGCGGCGCGGGCCCGGGCCGCUGCCUUCCCCGUGAGGCCGAC
rnacentral:lncRNA from 1 species